UACGGAGGAUGCAAGCGUUAUCCGGAAUGAUUGGGCGUAAAGCGUCCGCAGGUGGCUGUGUAAGUCUGCUGUCAAAGAGCGAAGCUCAACUUCGUAAAGGCAGUGGAAACUACACGGCUAGAGUGCGUUCGGGGCAGAGGGAAUUCCUGGUGUAGCGGUGAAAUGCGUAGAGAUCAGGAAGAACACCCGUGGCGAAGGCGGCUCUCUGGAACGCAACUGACGCUGAGACGCGAAAGCGUGGGGAGCAAACAGG
rnacentral:rRNA from 1 species